UGGAGCGAGACCGCGAGGCCAAAACCGUAGAUGGCGAUCGCGCCCUUUCUCCGCCACCGCCAUUGCUGCCGGCGCCGACGAUCUUCCUUUCCGUCUCGGAGGCGCCACCUCCCAACGUCGCCUUCUCAUCCGCUCCGUUUCAAGCCGUUCAUCUCCUCUCACAACCUGGGAUCCGGAGUGCCUUACGCACGAAAAAACCCCCUACAAAGCAUUGGGAUGCUCUCUACAAGCACCAUAGAACAAGGAUUCUUGGGCAAGUUCUUCAAGAUCGGCACGUUUUCGAGAAGGAUUGGGGCACUGCUGCUUGUCAUCCAGUGCGAACGGCUAGGCUUCUUCUCAUGCUAAGGUUGUAUUUGUGGCAAGUCUUUGGGAUAUGAUUAGAUUCUUGAUAGAUUAACUUUCUUUUCUGUUUUUCGGUACGUGUCUUAUUAAAUUGUUUAGAUUUAUAUAUUACUCUUCUGUCUUUGGGCACGCCCUCUACAACAACCAAAGUUCUCUUUCCGUCUCCCUCUCUCUUUUUUGCUUUAUUUUUCUGCGAUUCUUGAUUCUUGCAUCUUCGAUUGAUCCGAGGAUUCUUGGGCAUAGUUCUUCAAGAUCAGCACGAUUUGGAGAAGGAUUAGGGCACCACCUUUUGGUGAGCAUAAUAAUCUUGUCAUGAUCCUUUCUUUGUGAUUUUGGAUUCUUGAAUUCUAAGAUUUUAUGAUUUUACUCGUCUUACCCAGUCAUCCAGGAAGAACGGCUAGGCUUCUGCUCAUCCUAAGGUUGUAUUUGUGGCAGGUGCAUGGCAUAUUAGAUUCUUGAUACAUUAACUUUCUUCUCUCUUUUUUCAGUAGGUGUCUUAUUAAAUUGUUUAGAUUUGUAUAUUACUCUAUCUUUGGGCAUGCCCUCUACAACAACCAAAGUUCUCUUUCCGUCUCCCUCUCUCUUUUUUUGCUUUGUUUUUCUGCGAUUCUUGAUUCUUGCAUCUUCGAUUGAUCCGAGGAUUCUUGGGCAUAGUUCUUCAAGAUCAGCACGAUUUGGAGAAGGAUUAGGGCACCACCUUUUGGUGAGCAUAAUAAUCUUGUCAUGAUCCUUGCUUUGUGAUUUUGGAUUCUUGAAUUCUAAGAUUUUAUGAUUUUACUCGUCUUACCCAGUCAUCCAGGAAGAACGGCUAGGCUUCGGCUCAUCCCAAGGUUGUAUUUGUGGCAGGUGCAUGGCAUAUUAGAUUCUUGAUACAUUAACUUUCUUCUCUCUUUUUUCAAUAGGUGUCUUAU